rnacentral:rRNA from 1 species
GAUGAACGCUAGCGGCAGGCUUAACACAUGCAAGUCGAGGGGUAACAGGGAGCUUGCUCCGCUGACGACCGGCGCACGGGUGAGUAACGCGUAUGCAACCUACCUUUAACUGGGGGAUAGCCCAGGGAAACUUGGAUUAAUACCCCAUAGUACUAUUGAGUCGCAUGGCUUGAUAUUUAAAGUUCCGGCGGUUAAAGAUGGGCAUGCGUGCCAUUAGUUAGUUGGUGAGGUAACGGCUCACCAAGACAGCGAUGGCUACGGGGUCUUAAAGGAUGGUCCCGCACACUGGUACUGAGACACGGACCAGACUCCUACGGGAGGCAGCAGUGAGGAAUAUUGGUCAAUGGGGGCAACCCUGAACCAGCCAUGCCGCGUGGAGGAAGACGGCCCUAUGGGUUGUAAACUCCUUUUGUAUGGGAAUAAUAAGGGUUACGUGUAAUCCGACGAAGGUACCAUACGAAUAAGCAUCGGCUAACUCCGUG